GGUCAAGUGAAGAAGCGCAUACGGUGGAUGCCUUGGCAGUCAGAGGCGAUGAAAGACGUGGUAGCCUGCGAAAAGCUUCGGGGAGUCGGCAAACAGACUGUGAUCCGGAGAUGUCUGAAUGGGGGAACCCAGCCAUCAUAAGAUGGUUAUCUUGUACUGAAUACAUAGGUGCAAGAGGCGAACCAGGGGAACUGAAACAUCUAAGUACCCUGAGGAAAAGAAAUCAACCGAGAUUCCCUUAGUAGUGGCGAGCGAACGGGGACCAGCCCUUAAGUUGUAUUGAGAUUAGCGGAACGUUCUGGAAAGGACGGCCAUAGUGGGUGAUAGCCCUGUACGCGAAAAUCCCUUUGCAAUGAAAUCGAGUAGGACGGGGCACGAGAAACCUUGUCUGAAUAUGGGGGGACCAUCCUCCAAGGCUAAAUACUACUGACUGACCGAUAGUGAACCAGUACCGUGAGGGAAAGGCGAAAAGAACCGCGGAGAGCGGAGUGAAAUAGAUCCUGAAACCGUAUGCGUACAAGCAGUGGGAGCCCACUUUGUUGGGUGACUGCGUACCUUUUGUAUAAUGGGUCAGCGACUUAUUUUCAGUGGCGAGCUUAACCGAAUAGGGGAGGCGUAGCGAAAGCGAGUCUUAAUAGGGCGUCUAGUCGCUGGGAAUAGACCCGAAACCGGGCGAUCUAUCCAUGGGCAGGUUGAAGGUUGGGUAACACUAACUGGAGGACCGAACCGACUACCGUUGAAAAGUUAGCGGAUGACCUGUGGAUCGGAGUGAAAGGCUAAUCAAGCUCGGAGAUAGCUGGUUCUCCUCGAAAGCUAUUUAGGUAGCGCCUCAUGUAUCACUGUAGGGGGUAGAGCACUGUUUCGGCUAGGGGGUCAUCCCGACUUACCAAACCGAUGCAAACUCCGAAUACCUACAAGUGCCGAGCAUGGGAGACACACGGCGGGUGCUAACGUCCGUCGUGAAAAGGGAAACAACCCAGACCGUCAGCUAAGGUCCCAAAGUCAUGGUUAAGUGGGAAACGAUGUGGGAAGGCUUAGACAGCUAGGAGGUUGGCUUAGAAGCAGCCACCCUUUAAAGAAAGCGUAAUAGCUCACUAGUCGAGUCGGCCUGCGCGGAAGAUGUAACGGGGCUCAAACCAUGCACCGAAGCUACGGGUAUCAUCUUAGGAUGAUGCGGUAGAGGAGCGUUCUGUAAGCCUGUGAAGGUGAGUUGAGAAGCUUGCUGGAGGUAUCAGAAGUGCGAAUGCUGACAUGAGUAACGACAAUGGGUGUGAAAAACACCCACGCCGAAAGACCAAGGUUUCCUGCGCAACGUUAAUCGACGCAGGGUUAGUCGGUCCCUAAGGCGAGGCUGAAAAGCGUAGUCGAUGGAAAACAGGUUAAUAUUCCUGUACUUCUGGUUAUUGCGAUGGAGGGACGGAGAAGGCUAGGCCAGCCUGGCGUUGGUUGUCCAGGUUUAAGGUGGUAGGCUGAGAUCUUAGGUAAAUCCGGGAUCUUAAGGCCGAGAGCUGAUGACGAGUGUUCUUUUAGAACACGAAGUGGUUGAUGCCAUGCUUCCAAGAAAAGCUUCUAAGCUUCAGGUAACCAGGAACCGUACCCCAAACCGACACAGGUGGUUGGGUAGAGAAUACCAAGGCGCUUGAGAGAACUCGGGUGAAGGAACUAGGCAAAAUGGCACCGUAACUUCGGGAGAAGGUGCGCCGGUGGAGGUGAAGCAUUUACUGCGUAAGCCCCUGCCGGUCGAAGAUACCAGGCCGCUGCGACUGUUUAUUAAAAACACAGCACUCUGCAAACACGAAAGUGGACGUAUAGGGUGUGACGCCUGCCCGGUGCCGGAAGGUUAAUUGAUGGGGUUAGCGCAAGCGAAGCUCUUGAUCGAAGCCCCGGUAAACGGCGGCCGUAACUAUAACGGUCCUAAGGUAGCGAAAUUCCUUGUCGGGUAAGUUCCGACCUGCACGAAUGGCGUAACGAUGGCGGCGCUGUCUCCACCCGAGACUCAGUGAAAUUGAAAUCGCUGUGAAGAUGCAGUGUAUCCGCGGCUAGACGGAAAGACCCCGUGAACCUUUACUAUAGCUUUGCACUGGACUUUGAAUUUGCUUGUGUAGGAUAGGUGGGAGGCUUUGAAGCGUGGACGCCAGUCUGCGUGGAGCCAACCUUGAAAUACCACCCUGGCAACUUUGAGGUUCUAACUCAGGUCCGUUAUCCGGAUCGAGGACAGUGUAUGGUGGGUAGUUUGACUGGGGCGGUCUCCUCCUAAAGAGUAACGGAGGAGUACGAAGGUGCGCUCAGACCGGUCGGAAAUCGGUCGUAGAGUAUAAAGGCAAAAGCGCGCUUGACUGCGAGACAGACACGUCGAGCAGGUACGAAAGUAGGUCUUAGUGAUCCGGUGGUUCUGUAUGGAAGGGCCAUCGCUCAACGGAUAAAAGGUACUCCGGGGAUAACAGGCUGAUACCGCCCAAGAGUUCAUAUCGACGGCGGUGUUUGGCACCUCGAUGUCGGCUCAUCACAUCCUGGGGCUGAAGCCGGUCCCAAGGGUAUGGCUGUUCGCCAUUUAAAGUGGUACGCGAGCUGGGUUUAGAACGUCGUGAGACAGUUCGGUCCCUAUCUGCCGUGGACGUUUGAGAUUUGAGAGGGGCUGCUCCUAGUACGAGAGGACCGGAGUGGACGAACCUCUGGUGUUCCGGUUGUCACGCCAGUGGCAUUGCCGGGUAGCUAUGUUCGGAAAAGAUAACCGCUGAAAGCAUCUAAGCGGGAAACUUGCCUCAAGAUGAGAUCUCACUGGAACCUUGAGUUCCCUAAAGGGCCGUCGAAGACUACGACGUUGAUAGGUUGGGUGUGUAAGCGCUGUGAGGCGUUGAGCUAACCAAUACUAAUUGCCCGUGAGGCUUGACCAU
rnacentral:rRNA from 1 species